UCCGUAGGCGGACUAAUAAGUCAGGGGUGAAAUCCCACAGCUCAACUGUGGAACUGCCUUUGAUACUGUUAGUCUUGAGUUAUAUGGAAGUAGAUAGAAUGUGUAGUGUAGCGGUGAAAUGCUUAGAGAUUACACAGAAUACCGACUGCGAAGGCAGUCUACUACGUAUAUACUGACGCUAAUGGACGAAAGCGUGGGGAGCGAACAGGAUUAGAUACCCUGGUAGUCC
rnacentral:rRNA from 1 species